CGGUGNGCUAACCCGCAAGGGAGGCAGCCGACCACGGUCGGUUCAGCGACUGGGGUG
rnacentral:rRNA from 1 species